UACGUAGGGUGCAAGCGUUGUCCGGAUUUAUUGGGCGUAAAGAGCUCGUAGGCGGUCUGUCGCGUCGGAUGUGAAAACCCAGGGCUCAACCCUGGGCCUGCAUUCGAUACGGGCAGACUAGAGUGUGGCAGGGGAGACUGGAAUUCCUGGUGUAGCGGUGAAAUGCGCAGAUAUCAGGAGGAACACCGGUGGCGAAGGCGGUGGUCUGGGCCGGUACUGACGCUGAGGAGCGAAAGCGUGGGGAGCGAACAGG
rnacentral:rRNA from 1 species